rnacentral:tRNA from 1 species
GGGCCAGUAGCUUAGCUUGGUAGAGCACCAGGAUUGGUGGAACCAUUCGUGCAAGUCUUAUAUGACGGCUAAGCAAAAACUGUCGAGGCAAACUGGAGGUCGAGAGUUCAAAUCUCUCCUGGCCCA